rfam:Helianthus annuus linkage group 9, whole genome shotgun sequence.
AAAAGGCGUAGCAAAAAGCUGUAUUUUAACCAUUCAAAGUAAGAUAUUCGAGAGCAAAAAGGUUGAUACAUUUUGAAGCAGCCAGGGCUCUUGAAAAGGAGGGACGCCUUCGGGAACGCGGACACAGGUGGUGCAUGGCUGUAGUCAGCUCGUGCCCUAAGGUGUUGGGUUAAGUCCAGCAACGAGCGCAACCAUCGUGUUUUGUUGCCAUCAUUGAGUUUGAAACCCUGAAGAGACUGCCGGUGAUAAGCCGGAGGAAGGUGAGGAUGACGUCUAGUCAACAUGCCCCUUAUGCCCUGGGCGACACACGUGCUACAAUGGCCGGGACAAAGGGUCGCGAUCCCGCGAGGGUGAGCUAACUCCAAAAACCCGUCCUCAGUUCGGAUUGCAGGCUGCAACUCGCCUGCAUGAUACCGGAAUCGCUAGUAAUCGCCAGUCAGCCAUACGACGUACUU